GCUUAAAUAGUUUAAGAAAAAUCUUGAUUUGUGAUGUCAAAGAUGUGAAAUUCACUUUAGGCC
rnacentral:tRNA from 1 species